rnacentral:lncRNA from 1 species
CGGCGAAUAAAAGGUUUGUGGCCAAAACAAUCAACUGAUCAACUACUUGACGGGGCACAAAUCAGGUUAGGUGGCUAAUCAUUAAUGACCCAUUAAUACACUUAAUGACCAUAUCAAGGAUGAAUAUAUGGCAUUAAUGGAUGAUUGUCAAGUUAUAUUGCCUAAAAAUAUAUUGUAUUAAUGAAGAAUUAGUAUGGUUGGAUGAUCAUGAAGCUUAUAAAUACAAGAUUACUGCCCAAGUAAAGACAUCUUAUUCCCAAUUAAUAUCAAAAUACACUAAAGCAAUAUCGC